AUUGAACGCUGGCGGCAGGCCUAACACAUGCCAGUCGAGCGGAUGAAGGGAGCUUGCUCCUGGAUUCAGCGGCGGACGGGUGAGUAAUGCCUAGGAAUCUGCCUGGUAGUGGGGGAUAACGUCCGGAAACGGGCGCUAAUACCGCAUACGUCCUGAGGGAGAAAGUGGGGGAUCUUCGGACCUCACGCUAUCAGAUGAGCCUAGGUCGGAUUAGCUAGUCGGUGGGGUAAAGGCCUACCAAGGCGACGAUCCGUAACUGGUCCGAGAGGAUGAUCAGUCACACUGGAACUGAGACACGGUCCAGACUCCUACGGGAGGCAGCAGUGGGGAAUAUUGGACAAUGGGCGAAAGCCUGAUCCAGCCAUGCCGCGUGUGUGAAGAAGGUCUUCGGAUUGUAAAGCACUUUAAGUUGGGAGGAAGGGCAGUAAGUUAAUACCUUGCUGUUUUGACGUUACCAACAGAAUAAGCACCGGCUAACUUCGUG
rnacentral:rRNA from 1 species